rnacentral:tRNA from 2 species
GCCCGGGUGGUGAAAUUGGUAGACACAGGAGACUUAAAAUCUCCCGCCUUCACGGGCGUACCGGUUCGAUUCCGGUCCCGGGCACCA